CAUUUAAUGCCACUGCUGUGUUAGUGUGGUAGCAUGAUUAAAUGGCUUUAAUAAACUUGCAUGUUACACUUAAGCAGCUAAAUUAGAUUGGUGCUUUUCUUGGGUAAUUGAUGCAGGUAAGAUGUGUUUUCAGCUCGCAAGCCUGUUUUUAGAUGUUUCUUGUCAGACUUGUAAACUACCUUGAGUGCUCAUUUUUUCUUGGUGUCAUGUGUGGUUUUUUCCCCCUAGGACUGAUGGUAACCACUCCUUUUGGAAGUAUUUUUGCUGUUCAUAAUUAAUAUUUCUGUGCUAUUUACCUCUUGAAGUGUUUUCUGAGAUGCAGAAUGUACUAACUGCUGAUCCCCAGUAUAACUGCACUGUUGCUGAACGUUGACAGAUUGCCAUUAAAAGUAAAGUUGAAGUUAGACUCAUUGGUAUUUACAGUUAAUAUGUCCAGACCUGCAGUUUUCACAAACAGAUAUAAAUUGUGUUCUUGGCUACAUUUAAAGAACACUGUUUAAUACAUGCCUGCUAUUCUUUUUUCACAAACUGUGCAUAUCUUGUUAUGUAACUGACCUAAAGCAUCCUACAGGUUUUUUUUGUAGUGGUCUGGACAGUUACAGAAUAGGCAGAAGAGCAAAGAUUCUCAGGUGUCUGGGUCUUAGGUCUUGUGCAUCUUAAAAGCAUCUCCAAAUUAAAAUAAAAUUCAGAACGUGAUUAAAAUUGAGAUGUCUUUGUAGUCAGUUCUACUGAUUAAAAGCUUUCUUAAAGUUCUCCCACCUAGAGCUCCUUGCUGCCUUAGUCCUGAAGUAAAUAUUUGUCUUUGAAUGUAUGUCCUCCUGUUUAGUUGUUUCUGGCCAAAUGUGGCUUCAGCACCUCUCUGGACUGUCAGGUAAAAAACCUCAUUAUUCUAAUGGAAAACAGACCCAGUGUCCAGCUCCAAAAGUUUCCUGAAAGGUAGGUGGGCUUUCAUAAUGACAAAAUUACUUUCCUUAUUGCGCUUUUUAAGUAUCCAAGCUCAUUUAAUGAAAGUUGCCAUAAUUCAAAUGUGACUACAUUCUUGUAACUUUUAAGGUAAUGUUGCUAUUUUAGGCAAUGCUUAUUGUAAGAUUGCUUUAGAAGGUGAGGGAGAGAGGGAAAUACUGGAGGAAAAGGGUAGUGCUUGUUGUACACUGCUUUCAGGUAGCCUGUCUUAAACAGUAAAUUACUUUUGGUUAGUGAUUAGUCUACUAACUGAACCUGUCUGCAAUUUUCUGUUCACUUUUUAAAGAGCUUGAAUUGAAGAAAGUUGCUUUUCCUGAGAUAGUAUGAAAUAAUUUAAUGAACUUGUCAUUUACCUUUAUAGCUGUCUUCUUACCAAGUGGUAAGUAUCACAACUUGUGGGACUUGUUAAGGUGUGUGACACUGUGUCUUCAUUUACUUAUGUCAUCUUGGAAUGCAGAAAACCUGAAGUAAAAUAAAUUUUAUUGCAAAGGUAGAAUUUCUUUAGAAGCACUAAUGUAAUGAAAAUUUUAGUUAUUAUGGUGCACUACAAGGAUAACAAAUAUCUGGAAUACCACUCACUCAUCUUUUCUGGUGUUCUUUGUGUUUCAGUUGCAGGUAUGUCUUUAAUUCUUAAAUUCUUCUCAUUUUUGGCCCUUUUUCAUAUUGAAGAGACUGUCUUGGAAUACAAUAACACAUUUUCUGAAAUCAGUUUUGACAUUUGAGGAUGCUUUGGAAAUCUGCAAUAAAAAUGCCAUGAAUACAGGGUUUAGAAUGGAUUAAGCAAUUACUAAAUAUGAAUACAGUAGAGAACAGUGAUUUCUCUUAGAUUUUUUCUUUGUCUUUCCUUUAUCCCCUAAUUAAACAUUUAUAUGUUUAAUUAGGUAUUAAAUACAGAUAUUUCUAGGCUUCUGUUCUCUAGGCAAUCACUGUAAUUACUACCACACUGGUAGAAUUGUAUAACUUUUGUCCAAAAGUAAGAAGGGUGCAAUUUAAAAGUAAAGGGGUAUUAUUGCAUUGAGCUGUAAAAACUAAGAAUGCUAAUUAAUAGAUUAUAGUUAGCUAACUGUGUUCUAAUUAAAUUCUGAAUUCACUGUGUCUUCUGUGCCCUUUUGGAGUUGGUCACUUCAGCCCUUCACGUGGAAGAUCAGUUUAAUAGGAUUUUCUCUAAUUAAACAGAUGUCUCUGUUUAGACUCUGAACAAGGAAUUUCCCAGAUGUGUUGGCGGACCAGAAAAUCUCUUCAUUACCUCUUCAGCCUCCUUCUAAAAUGGGUUCCAAUAUAAUUGCAGGAACUGGAGCUUUACACUUAAUUAUGAGUAUUUCAGGACAUCACUUUUAAAGACGACUUCUUGCACGUGUGGUACUUGUGCUUUAUAUAAAGUUUAUCUCGGACCAGUUAUAUUGUUAAAAAUCACCUCAACUCAUGGAGCCAAGAUGCUGGCUGACUCAUACCGUUAUCUGAUAGUCAUCUCAGUCUCUUUCCUGUGGUCAUGGCUCCUUAUUCUUCAACACCCACUUGAUUAUCCGUGAUUGUAUUGCUGUUCUUGUCACCUCAGCUUGAGUGAUUUAAUUGCCCCUUGGGUUUGGGAGUUGUUAAAAGUACCUGAAAAUGUGAGCCCCCCUUGAUUGCUACCUCAGCCUUCUAUUAAUAGAUUCAUCCGAGUCUUGGAGUUUUCUUUCCUUGGGAACAUGUACAAAUAAAUGUAUUGCUUAUUGAUUUCCCGGCAAUUUUCUGGGUUCAGUAAAGCUCAGAGAAGGAGUGGGGAGAUUAAAGAGCAUGCUACCUGUCCUUAGGCAGUCACAGCCUUUUGGUUGUCCUCUGAGGACACUAGGCAGGAGGGCUGUCUUGGAUAUAAUCCUGAGAAUUCCAUGCACAUGCUCUCUGGAGCUCUCAUGUAGGUGGGCAGACCUGCAGUCUUGCCCAGCUGUGGUCUUUUCCCCAGUUGUGGUGCAACACAGCUGGAUUCAUCAGAUGCUCUGAGCAAAUGCUGCUGCUGGGGAGUGGAGCUUUAUUUUCAUCCUUUCUUACUGAUCCUGAAGAGACAGAAAAUCCUUUCUUUGCAUAAAUGGGGAAUGUCAUUGAAAGCUCACUUUGAAGGGCUCAAAACUAAACAUGGAAAGUAUUCCUGUAGUUAACAUAGAUUCUUGGAAAAACAUGACAGUUUUCAGUGCAGUGUGGAUGACUUAACCAGUCAUUCUUCACAAGAAGCCCAGAGGAAAGUGCAAAUGAUUGCUGUUAUGCAAACCCAUGCAUAUUCGAGGAGAAAUGGAUGAAACCAGUAAACAGGAGCUUGGUUUUGUCAUGGCGUCACUCUCCUCUAAAUGGUUCAGUGGGAACUGUACCUUUCUGAUUUGAAAAAUAAUAUUUUAGUAUGUGUGGUUUAAAGCUUCCCUGGAAACCUCUUCAUCAGAAGCCAGAAGAGGAAAGGAAAGACAGUGAGUAUGUUUUGCACCAUGACAGAAAUAAUUUGCCUAGAAACUGGGCACUGGUGGGGUGAUGUGAAACUCAAGGACAAAGGAAUUCCUCUCAGUUGAAACUUGCUUUUGACAAGGUGAUUGUGCCUUAAAAUAAGUAGUGCAAUGCAAAUUUUAUGUCUAACGCCCUGCGCUGAAAUUUCCACAUUUGACUGAUCUACUUUUAAGACCAGAUUUAUGUUUCAGCUAAAACAGUGUGGUACUGCUGAAAACAUCUUUUUACUUUGAUGCAUUUCUGUGGUCUUUCUGUGGUUAGAGACCUUGGAUGUCUGAGUCAGAGAGUUUAACCAAGAAAGUAUUUCUGAAAGGAGUUUCACCUGGCUUGGGAUAAGCACUUGAAGAACAUUGUACUUUAUUGUGAUGGAUGUAUUCCAGCAUUUCACCAGUAUUCCCCAGAGUCAGAAGUAUUUUCCAUUUCUUAGUAGUGGGUAAUGAGCAUCUAAUUUUCAAAAGUGUAGUUGUCCAUGUGUUAACCUCUUAAGUGCAUUGGGUGCUGCUGUUAUGAGACUGUCUGAGUUUCUAAUGAGUACAUUAUUUCUCUGAAAAUCAGAAUGAUUCUCACUUCUUUAUUGGCUUAAUUUUUUUUUUUUCAAUUAUGUUUUAAAAAAAUUGAUACGUCUUAGUGCUGUGUCAUUCUAUUACUAGCCCUGUUCCCGAGCUGGUUAUUUGUUGGUAGAAAAUGAAGCUUUCUUCCAAUUUGGGUGUUUAAUUGUGCAAUAUAUGUUUCCAUAGGCAUUGCUUAAAGUAUCCCAGAGCAUUGCAUUUAAAUAAUUCCUUCAAUGGCAGAUGCCUGUUGGCUCUUUAGAUUUCUGCCAGCUUUAAGGUUCCUUCUGUCUUUUCCCAGCUGCAGCAUGAAAUUAUAAUUCAAUUCUCUUUCAGAAUAACUCAAAACUACCUCCUCAAGAGUGCUUGGUAUCCAAAGCAUUUAUCAAGUUGCAGCACUCUAUAAUGACCUCAGAAAUUGUCAUGUGAUCACCCAAGAGAACACCCUGUGUUCUUUUUUUUCAGUUCUGUAAGGAAAUAAAACUAGACAUUUUGUGGUUGUCUAUAUUCCCCAAGGCUCCUUUUGUCCCGUGUUUCCUCUUGAGAUAGGAUCUAAUACCUUGGGUUGCUUUGAGCUGUAGCAUAGGCUGAACAGCUGCUCUCUACUUGAUCCAUUAAACAUAUAAGGGGAAUACUACCAACUUAAAAGCAGCUUGGAAUAAAACAGGUGAUGUCAGUGGUGCUGUUGAACGUAAUAGUUUAACUGUGCUUUUUUUGUUGUUAAUCUGGAGCAGGGAUUACUUCAAAUUCUGCAGAAUUUAGAGACUGCAGACUCUUUCUGCUAUAAUUCUUUCUUUAGUAUGUAUUGAGUCUGUGCAGGUAUUAGACUCCUAACUAGGAUGGCAGUGUGUUAUUCCACCAUUUAGUGCUUAUAUUCCUGAAGAGUCUUGUCUGUAAUGCUGUGUUUCUCUAGAAGCUUUUGUUCCUUUCAGCACUAUUCUAUUUAUGGUGUUUGAGUUAGUAAUUUUUUUUCUUAAGUGUUCUUGCUUUCUAAAAUAUGAACUAGAAAUAGAACUACAUGAAACUGUGUAAGUUUUCCUCUUUCUUAGUCACCCAGUGAACAUUUAACAAUGAUAGAUGAUGGCAAUAGUGCAGAGGUGCUCCUCUAUUACAGGUAAUUUCUGCUGAUGUUACACCUUUACAAUGCCAAAUCCACCAUUCUCAUAUGUCGGCCUUAUUUUGCCUGGUAUUGAUUUAAGUAGAAAGGAGAGGAGCAAUUUUGUGGAACUUCCAGGUCAUGGAAAAAAGGUUGUAGUUAUGCUGGUCUUAUGUCCAUCUUUCAGGUAUGCCUCAGGACCAAAAACUGAAAUAGAGCUUUUUGUAAACUCUUUUCAAUUUGGUGAUUCUAGGAAGCCUCAAAGAUAUGAAGAUGGUCAUCAGAGUGGGCCACCCUGAAUAAACUGUCAAUUGGAAAGAAUAGGAUUUAUUCAGCAAAGUAGAUUUCUAGGAUACAGUUAACAGUCCAUUUAAUUCUUAAGACAUUAGUAAGGCAGAGGAACUUUUGUAUUUAGGAUAAAUAUUUGUGUAUAUGUAUGCUCUGAGAUAAAAGCUAGAGACCAAAAGAGUUUAGAGGGGACAUUUCUGUGCUCUGAAAGUAGUGUGUUUGAUAACUCAUGAAGAGCACUCAUGCCAGCUAUCUGAACUAGUAAUUGAAGAAAAAAACAUUGUGAAAUGACUCUUUAGGUUCAGCUGGCAGGAGAGGAAUAAGGGAAUAAACUUGGUAGUGCUCAAGAUGUUCUAAUAUAGAAGUACUUUGAAUAUAUUUUCUGUAUACACUUGUGUUUAGGGGACACAAUGAAACAGCAGUGUUUUCAGUAGUGGUUAGUGGUGAUUUGAGAUCCUUGACAGAAAUCAGAUUAAAACUGCUUGCCAUCAGGUAGCAUAGCUAUUGAGGAUUACACUUUUUUCCCCUUGAAUAGAUAGUGCUUUGUAGUUCUUUUGUAUAAUCUGUUGAACGUAACAUAAUCUCUUGAACGCACGGAAAAAUGGCUGCAUCUGUUGAAUGUAGUGGAACAUAAUUAUAUCUCCAUUUUUUUGUCUGAAGAUGACAAGCAGUAGACCUUGAAAAGAAAGUCUUUUAAGCAAAACUUAGUUUCAUAACCCACAAAGUCUACAUAAUUAUAUUUAUGCAUAGUAUUUUCAGAUUGAUAUUGGUUCUCUUGGAAAGGUCAGAGUCACCAUCUGUGGUGGAAAAAAAUACAAGGACAAAGUGUAUUUAGCUUCCUUCUGUGGUGAUACCAGUUGUUCUGUCUAAGAGAUUUGCUUAGUGCUUGCAGUAGCAUCACCUUGGACUGUGAAACAGAAGGGGGUGUUUGGUUAUAUUGGCAGCCUUGAGUAGCAGGUAGCAACUCAAGGUUUUGCAAAGUGCCAUUGGAACUGAGAGAUCUUUGUAAAUCACAAAAAACCCUCUUUGAUUUAGUGAUGAUUUUGCUUCCAAAGAGUAUUAAAUAUCCUAAGAGAACUCUACUUCCUUUUCCUGUUAAUAACCUUGGAUUAAACACUAAAAACUUCUGUACUGUUUGGGGGAGAUUGAAGCAUUUCAAUAUACAUCACAUUUUGCAAUUGCUAAGGCAGUAUUGACAUUUAAAACAUAAAGAAAAGAAAGGAAGGCUGUAUCAAUAUCUAGAUCAGUAUUUGAAGAGAUCUUGUGAUAAUCCAAAUUUUUAUCAGUUGACCUCCAUUAAGAAAGCCUUAGGGAUUCACCCUAGGAAGAGAUUGUAUUCUUUAAAGAAAAAAAACAACCCAAACCCCCCUCAAAAACAAACAAACAAACAAAAAAAACCCAACCCAAACCCCAAAACCAAGCAAUCAAAAAAAGAAUCCCCAGCCCCCCAAAAGCAUGAAAUAGUCUUGUUAUGCAUGUGUACUCCCCAAAAUGAGCAUUAUCAGAUGCCAAAAUAUUGGCACAGAACACUAUUAAGGCUUUUUCUAGUGAUCAUUGCUUUAGAAAUCAGAGGAGUUAAACUUAUGUAUAACAGUUACAGGAAUAAAUACCAUGUGACUGCCUUCUUCAGUUUAAUUUUAGCAACUUCGUUUGUAAACUGGAAUGCUAAGUGAUGUACAAUCAUCAGUAAACCUAAAGAACCUGUUGCUUUUAAGCUGUUUGUUGAGCUGUAUACAAGGUUUUAAAAUUAAUUUAUGUAUUACUUCUUAUUCCUGUUGCUAUUUAAAUGAUUAAAGUGUGUGAGCAGUGGGCUGCUUUUGCUUGUGCCUGGGUGGGAGCUAGUAGUCCAGGAUCCCAUUAAGACAGGGGAAAAUGUAGUCCUUGCUGCUCUGAGCUGCAUGCAAUUCCUGUUAAGGACUGCUUUUAAAAUCUAAUUAUUGUUAUCACUAUUUUGGAAAAUAAAUAGUAUAAGCCAACAAGGGUGAGCAACUGGCUGGAGACAGGUUCUUCCAGAAUUUGAUUUCACAAAAUCAAAAUGAAUUUGAAGGCAGUGUGUAGAUUUCUAACCAUCUUGGGCAGUUCAUGGCAAACACACAAAAUAACAUCAGGUUGUGGGGGGAUGACUUUUUGAAUUUCAGGUGUAACACAAAAUAAACUUUUUUAUUGAGGGAGGAAGGAAGUGAUGGCAAUCGGCUGCCUGGGAAAAAGAUACUUUUCAAUGCUUUGCAAAUGUGGCAGAGAUGUGGAGGAUAAAUUUUACUUUAGGUGCUUUGUUUAAUGCCUGUUCCUCUAUAUCUGCAUUGUAAUCAGGUUCUGUAGUGCAUUGUUAAACACUUCUGUUUCUGCACUGGUACCCCCUCUUGCUUCUUCCAUUCUCCUCCCCCUUUCCCUGCUUUAGUGGGCUGGAGAGAGAAGCAGAGUGACAGCAAGCAAGUAAUAAAUGGUAAUCCAAAAUUAAGCCUCACUGGUGUCCGUAUCAAAUGAAUUUUUGUCCUGGCCAGUACAUACAGUGUCCUCGAGUUCUCAUGAGCAGCACCGUGGAGGAGCAGGCACUUCACUGAAGGGUCUUUUGCUGCCUAAAAUAUUUCACAGAUGCAGCCUUGCACACCAGACAGUAGACUUGACAUUGACUUUAGGGAUUUGUUUGAUCCUUCUUAUCAAAUGAUCAGGUACCAGCUACCUUGGGUGGUUAAACUUUGUGAACAGAUGGUCUUCUAAUUAUAUGUGGAUGUGGAUUCCAAAGAAUACAAGGCCACACACUUCUUCUGAUGCUUCUUGUCACUUGUUUGUGAACUUGUUUCUAAGAUUAAAACAAACCAGCACAUGAAGUGCCAUAAUUCAGAAAUUAAAAUCUUAUUUCUUCAGGUACUUUGUACAAGAUCUGAUUCUUCCAUAGUAGUUGAUUGCUCCUGCUAUUAAUAUAUGUCAUUAAUGUAUGUAUUAUGUAUGUAUAUACACCCCCACACAAAUCCUACCCUUUUUUAAUGCAGUGAGAUGAGGUGUAUAUACUUUUUUCCUUACAAGAAUCACGAAAUUGUCUGAGUAGUGGUCUGAUUUUUAGUGGAAUCGUGUCUCAGAUGACAAAUACUUAGUUUUGACUGAAGGGAGAGAAAAGCUUUCUGACUAUUUGUGUUGUAGCAUAUUGUCUUUGGGCAACCUUGUACCUCAGGCUUACAGGCUUAACCUGUUGUUAGGCUUGUUAUUUUAUUUUAUUUUUUUUUAUUUUACUGUUGGAAUAAUUUAUUAGACUUCACACAUUAUAAGUGGGUAUUAGUUCUUGGAUGAACAGAAAUAAACCAUGAAGCAACAAAAGUAACUUGAGAUAAGUGGAGCUUUCUUUGUUAGAGCUACCCACGCAGCCUAUUGCAGCAUCUGAUCUCACAGCCAGAAGCUUCCAUGAGGCUGAUCUUAUGUCUCUUUCUCUUUGGAGAGAUAGGGACAUUUAAAAGUAAACAUUUGAUUUGCUAAAUUAUUCAGGAUAUCAUACCAAAGCUCUUAAAAUGUUAUAAAUGUCAAAAUCAACAUAGCUAAGAAACACCAACAUGUUUGUCCCUGUAGGAGAUACUGCUCCUCCAUAGUUAAUUAAUGCCUUGGAUCUGAUCUACAGAAGCAGUUGGUUAAUGAGACAGAUACAUGCUCUUUAAGAGUGGUCAUACUUUUGUAUUUGGCAUUGACUGAAAAUUUACAUGAAGUUCUGAAAGUGCUUUUGGCUUCUGCGGCAAGAGGUUUCAGUGUUUCCAUGUUGGACAUCCAUGAAGAGGAUGACAAAAGCUUUAGGCUGAGAAUUAGUGCUGAUCGGUGAAACAAUGGAUCUCAGAAUAAUGCUGGAAAAGGGGAACGGGCAAAAAGAACAAGCAGAAUAAAGGCUUUUAAAUAGGUUGUUAGGAAAUAAUGUGCCAUGCACUGGAGACUUAGGAAGUAACUGUCUUAUUUCCCUCAGUUGGGUAAAUGUGGAGAAUAAGAUUCUUCAGUGAUUCAUUAUUCAUCUCUGUUCAGCUGGGAGUGCAAAUGACAGUGUUGUGAUUACUAGGUACAGCUUAGUUAAAUAUCAAUACUCCAGUGUUUUUCUGAUUGUGCAGCUCAGUAACUGAUGAGAAGGGAGAGGACAGAGGUAAAAAUCUAGAUAAUUUUUUGAUCUCAUCAACUGUGGCGUAUUUGUGUGCCUUUCAUUAGCAUAGCACAUUUAUGUACUUUUCUGAAAUCUCCCUUUGGUUUGCACAUAAGUUAAUUUUAACAGAUGUUGUUGCUUGUGAGGAUUAAUAAUUUAUCCAAAGUAGUUGUACAAAAGGCGUACAACCAUAGGUGGUUUUUUUUGAGGGUAGAGGUGUUUCCCAGUCUUCAUCAGCCUGUGUAUCUGUUGAAUAAAGUAAAAUUAUUCUGUUUGUGGAAGCUUUGAUUUGGAGGAUGACAUUAAAAUUUUUUUUCCCCUCAGCUGAUGUCUGAGGGAUCAGGUUUGGCCAUUCAGUUGUGAGCCUGUUAAUGUGUAACCAUUUUAAUGGAUAUGAGAGCUUAGUUACUCAAAGGAGGGAUCUUUCUGAGAAACCAUAGGUAUACUUUCAUAUGAGAAAGUAAAUAGUGUGCUCUAUAUGUGCAGUCAACAGCACUUUUUAUGGGUGAAGGAAAAUUAAUUCAGCCAUUUUAUGAUCCUAUUUGCAGGGAUGUGUUUAGACUUUCUCAUCACUUCACUAUGACUGGAAUGUUCCAAAAAUUGGAAUUAUCUGCAGUAACUUAUUCUGGGGGAUGGAAACUAAAAAAAUCACCUUGCAAUAAAAUGAGUAAUAGAGAUUUUUCUUAACAUGGAUUUAAUGUUGGUAUGAACUAGCAGAUGGUAUUGAAAGAAUGACAGAAAAGUUUUAAGAAGCAUGCUUUGGCCAGGAUUUGUGAGAAGGUCUGUGCACAUGCUUGACUAAAGAGUUGAAGUAGGUGUGGGUACUGCUGUGUAUGCUCAGGUUAUGAUUUAUAAUACUUUCUGCUGUUGGGUAACAUCACAGCGAGAUUCUUAUACUAGUUCCUCUACUAAUUAGUCCUUUGUAAGCCUUUUUAGUUGGAAAUUGUAUACCUUCAGAUUGCUUUUAUAAAACCCAUCUUAUUUGGGUUGGUUCUUGGUUGUAAGGCCCUAAAUAUGAUUACAACUUACUUUAAAGUUGUGCUUUGCACUUAACAUACAACAGUUGAGCAAGUGGUUGUAUUGCUGUUACAUUCUCUCUCCUCCAUCUUCCAUGAGUAGGAUUCAAAAUCCAAUGUUUGUGACUUAAAGAGGGUUCAAAGUUGUAGUUUCUAUCCAGGGAAAGCUUUUUUCUUUAUUUUUCUGCUAAAGCUGGGAAUUCAUUCAAGACUUGACUUCUAAAACUGCAUGCUGUGUUUUCUCAAUGCAGAAUCCAUUUAGUGUGUACAUAUUAAAAAAAUUCUUCCUCUCCUCCUUUCCAUUUGGUUGAAUUAGCUCAGAUCUGUGUGCCUUUGAGAGGUCUAAGGUCUGUCUCCUUUCUUACUGUGUGAGAAUCGUCAUUCAUUUAUAUUUAGCAUUUUUUUUUGUUAAUUAACUUUUUCUAGUGUUUCAUGUUGAGCUUCUUUAAUUUGAAAGGGAAUUUGUGGACGAAAUCAUUAAUUCACUUUCUUUUAUACUUAAUAUGGUUGUUAAAGUUUCUUUGUGAAUUGCUGAAUGCUAGACAGUCUUUGAAGAUUGAUCUGGGAAAAGUAGAGCUGUACUUCACAGGUUGAGCUUGUUAGGAGGUGAUUUGGUGCAGAAAGAUCUGAUUAUUAAAGACAGACACUAGCUGAUGCUGUGACACCUUCAUAUGCACUGCAUGUAAUUGUGCUGAUUAACACUUGAGUGAAGGCACUAAUUUUAGUAGGGUAUCAACAACAAGAGGGUCAAUAUGCUGUACGGGCUUAUACAUAGCUGAAACUGAGGGUUUGCUGCUGAGCACUUAAUUUUCUGAAAUUCUACUCUGUCCAGUAGAACUUAAUGAAUAGCAGACUUCUCUACAAAAAUGCAAAAGUAAUAUUUUUUUCAUAAGAAUGGGUUAUUUUAGUUCAAUGUUUUUAUAUUGUCAUUGCUUUUUCAUUUUAAGGGUGAAGAUGGUGUAUUUUUCUUCUAUUUUUUUUUCAUUCUCACUGGAUGGGUAUUUCUGCCCUUAAUCUUCCAUUCAGCCAGGCUUCUUUUGUUGUUCUUUAAGCUAUGAAAAUCAGUGGUGCCUACCUUUUUAUUCAUAUUUAUAUAUAUUGCAAACAGCAGUGUAUUUAACUUGCAAAACUUGUUACCAUGUGAAUUAUUUCAUUUUAGUCUUCACAUGAUUGGAGUGAUGGAAGGCCUGGUAAAAAAGCUGCUCUUAAUUUAUGGAAGUCAUUUUCUGAACUGGAUUGGGCAGAUUUGCACUCAGCAGAGUGACUGUUAAGGUAUUUUGUAAUGGAAAAGGCAGAACAUGACUAUAUCAAUUUGGUGAUUUAUGAUCUCAGUUCAAAGUAACUGGCUGAGGUUCUGCCAGGUAUAACUGAUACUUUACAUCCCUUGUACACUGCAUGAUAAACCCGAAUUAUGAGUAAUGAAAGACAGUGUGUUAGUGCUUCCAAGUUACAAAACUGCUGUAAAUGCCAUAAAGAGAUUUCGUUUCCAGUAGGAAACAUCCUCCCUUUUAGCCUAUGCUAACAUGCUCUGCAUUAACAUCUCAGUUAUUUUCAGAACUUUUGUCUAUCACAUCUGGGUUUUUAACAUUAAGAGGUGCUAGCUAUUAAGGAAUAUCUUUAUAACACUUUUAACAGGUGCUAUUAAAUCAAGAUGAUAGGAGCUUAUCUAAAACAUGAAGUAUAAUGUAUUAGAGAAGUAUUUUUAUUAGAAGUAAGUUGUUGUACCAUCAUGUACAGUAUUUAAUUUGUAGCUAAAAUGGAUAUUUUUACUUCCCAAAUAAUUUGAUCUCUUGUAUUCUUUUGGGCUGGUUUCCUCUUGCUUAAGCACAUUUCCUUUCGUUUUGCCCUUCAGCACUGGGGCUGACUGUUGGGAGAUUAGUAGCAUAAUUGUUUUUGUCAUUUUUGAUGUUGGGAUAAUUUAAAUUGCACAAGUUCAGUUUUGUGCAACAGGUUGUGCCCUAAGGCACACACAUGUUAUGUAUCCAAGCUACUUGCUUACAUGGCUAACAUGGAAACAAGAACCCUGUUUUUUGUGUAGUUCCUAUAAUACUUCAUAUUCAAAACACAGAUUUAUGUUGACUUCAUCUUAACAAAUUAUUUGUGUAUCUUCUGAAUGCCCAACAGGCAGUUCAGCAACAAAAGAGUGUGGAUAUCAUAAGCUGUAGGGAAAUAAACCAAACUGAAAAUCAACACCUGACAGAAACUCUCUGGAAAAAAACAUUUAGCUGUUGUCUUAAUUGUAUUUCCCCGUUAUUCUCAGUUUUCUGCUCAUUCCUGAUGUAUCAUUCUUUUCUGCAAUGAAAUUCCAGAUCCAUUGAGAAGUAUCAGUAAGUAACAUCUCUACAGGUUUCUUUCCCCCUCUAGUCCCCGUGAGUCUCUGCACCAAAGGAGUUGCAGUUGGUGUUGUAAUAAUGUGAGCACACAGGCAGCAUAUGGUAAAUAGAGUCAAUUCAGUGUGAGUCAACCCAAAUAUUAGGAAGUCCUGAACUGUACAAAUGCUUUUUAAUGUAGUUCUUGGAUGGAAUUUGUUUUAGAAAUGCUGUAUUUCCACUAUCAUUCAUCUCAGAUAAUUUGUCACUGUCCCCUUUUGCUGGUAUUGCUUUUAGAGUUGAGUGAAAUCUUUGGGUGAACUGAGCGUCAGGGAAAUAUUCUCACUAAAGAGUGACUUGGCAAGAGGUUGAUUUUCACAUGAUGUGUUCCUUAAGUAGCAGGGCUGAGGGAAACAAGAUUAAAAUGUAUACCCUUAGAACUGUAAAUAUAUUUUUAUUACAUAGAACAUGUUUUUUAAUGAACUCUAGAAUGAAAUCAGUCUUGCUUAUGCCAAAACUUGUGAAUCAUUUACUCUUUGCUCACAAUAUCUGUGUUCAGAACAGAGUUUGGCUGGAAGUAAUAAAUGAGUGUUGAAUUUUCCUUUCGAUUUUAUAAACUCAUUAAAUUAUAUUUUGGUUUCUGAAGGUCACCAUUCUUGAGCAGAUAGUAAGGAAAGGCAUAAAGAAGGCUGAUUUUGUUUUUUUUUCCCCAACUUCUGCUUGUGGAACUCGAGAUACUUCACUGUGAAAUAUAGACUACUGUUGAUCCCUCAGACAGAUUACUCAAUUUCUUUAUCCAUCUCACUUGGCUUCCCACAGUCUCCCACAGUAUGCAAAUAGAGAGAACAUAUUUGAACAAAAUGUUGCAUCUUUCUGUGAUAUGCCAAUCUGCUCAGGUACCAGAGAAGAUUUCCCAGGCCUCUGUGAUCAGAGAUGUGGUUCAGGGAGAGUAACUAUCAACCAUUAAUUGAAAGAGGAUUGACUCAGGGCUUCCUUGAGAAGACUUGAUCCCUGUAAGACCACAGGAUGAGUGUGAGGGUGAGGAGAUGGCUGUUUGAUGCUGCUGGAAGGCUUAUUUCUGUCAUUCUUAAAAGACUAAAGAAACUGGGGAGGGGUCUCCUUUGUGGAAACAUGGAUGUUCCACAAUCUUCAAAACAGGUCAAGGGAGAAACCAUGGAGUUAGAGGAUGGUGCUUUCUGCUUCAGUCCCUGUGGAGUGAGUCUUUUUGGAACACAUUUCUGAGCAUGUCAGUGACAGGAUCAUGGUUGGGCACAGUCAGGAUGGAUUUGUCAAGGAUUAAUCAUGCCUGAUCUCAUUGCCUUCUGUGAUAAAAUGUCAGGAUUUGUGGAUGAGGAAGGAGCAGUGGCUGUCCUUUAGCUAGCCUUUAGUCAGGCUUUCAUCACUGUUUCCCACAUCACUCCUGUCAUUCCAGAUGGGGGAGAAGCUGCUUGUAGGAUCAGGCUCAGAGCGUGAUUAAGGGUUUGAUCACUACCCAGUUUCUGUAACAAGCUGAGUCAUGUUUGACAUCUUUCUCAGGGACCUGGAUGCAGGUGACAGGGUCCCCAUUCAUUCAGGUGGCACCACCCUAAGGGGACCAGUUGAUAUGCUGAAGGGCAGAGCUGCUGUGCACAGGCACUCAGUCUGCAGGAAUGAAGGGGCAGGAGGCUCAUGAGAUGCAGCAAGGAUGAUGGGAAUAAGAAGCUCUUAGGAAAAAUAGAGGUUAGGGUGUGGCUGGGUGGGAGCAGCUCUGUGGAAAAGGGUUUGGGGACCUGGUGGGCAGUAAGGUGGACAUGAGGCAGGGAUGAUUCGUUGUGGCAGCAGAGAAGUUUGUGCAGUGAUUAUUUCCUUCAGCUUCACACUUAUUCAGCCACAUGCAGAAUACUCUCUCCAACUUUUGUCUACCCAGUGCAGAAAAAGAUAUCACUUGGUAACAUCAUCUAAGAGGGGUGCCAGAGUGCAGGCUGAAGCACAGGUCUGUGAGAAGAGGUUGAUGGAAUGGGUUAAUUUGGUGAUGGGAAGGCUUUGAGAGGAUUAAUAGCAGCCUUCCCAUACAAUGAAGUUGUUUUUGAGAAGAGGAACUAGACUGGAUGCUGCAUGGUGGGAGGA